rnacentral:tRNA from 1 species
UAGUUUAUAUAAAAUAUAUAACUUGCAAUUAUAAGAAC